rnacentral:rRNA from 1 species
UGGGGAAUUUUGGACAAUGGGCGAAAGCCUGAUCCAGCAAUGCCGCGUGUGUGAAGAAGGCCUUCGGGUUGUAAAGCACUUUUGUCCGGAAAGAAAUCCUUGGCUCUAAUACAGUCGGGGGAUGACGGUACCGGAAGAAUAAGCACCGGCUAACUACGUGCCAGCAGCCGCGGUAAUACGUAGGGUGCAAGCGUUAAUCGGAAUUACUGGGCGUAAAGCGUGCGCAGGCGGUUUGCUAAGACCGAUGUGAAAAUCCCCGGGCGUCAACCUAGGGCAACUGGCAAUUGGUGCAAUGCUGGGCAGGGCUAGAGUAUGGCAAGAGGGGGUGAAAUAUCCACGUGUAGCAGUGAAAAUGCGUAGAGAUGUGGAGGAAUACAGAUGGCGAAGGCAGCCCC